AUUAACUUCCUGAAUUACCUGACCAAAAGCACAGUCUAGUGGUAGUGUGUCCCAUAUCUAAACAAUCUCAUUGGACUAGUGGCAUUGCUUGGAGGAAAAUCUCCAUUCAGCUUACAUCUGUAGGAGUGACUCCUACCAGUUCGAUCGUGGUGCCGGUAGGAGACACCCAAAACCUGAAGAGAGAUCACAGGUCAGCAAGGGAGCACCUGAAGAGCAGCACAAAGGACUUCCAGCCACUGCAGACGGUAAGGCAUGUGAAGGACUUAGAGACUUCCUGCUGCUACAGCUCAGGAAGACUAAUGCCCUCCUGACAACAGAAAAUGUUAAAAACACAAAUACAAUUAUUCUUUCAUUUUAUUUGAUUUUCUUUGAUUUUGAAAUCAAAGCACCUGAUUUAGGUGCUUUGAUUUCAAA